rnacentral:lncRNA from 1 species
CAGAUUCUCAUCAAUGCUGGGGGGAUACUUGAGAUAACUGUUUUCCCAGCCAAAUAUGCCAUGGAAUUAUCUUCUGUGGUUUACAAGAGCUGGGUUUUCACUGAGCAUGCACUCCCUGCUGAUCUGCUCAAGAGGUAAAGCACAAAAAAUUGAAUUGUAAAACUUUCUCAUGUCUUAAGAUUUUUGAUGCUUAAUGAAACAAAAAUUUCUGCUACAUUACAGAGGAGUAGCAGUACCAGAUUCAAGCCAACGACAUGGUCUGAGACUUCUGAUAGAAGAUUACCCUUAUGCUGUUGAUGGUUUAGAAGUCUGGUCAGCAAUUGAAACUUGGGUGAUGGAAUAUUGUGCUUUCUACUAUCCAACAGAUGACUUGGUUCGGGAUGACACUGAACUUCAAUCCUGGUG